rnacentral:rRNA from 1 species
CCCUUAGACGCUCUAGGCGGCACGCGCGCUACAAUGGGUGGUAGAACGUGUAACUGCUCCCGAAAGGGAGGGUGAACCACGAAUACUUACCCGUGAAUGGGAUAGUUUGUUGCAAUUUUCGGACUUGAACUAGGAAUCCCUUGUAAGAAUGCUCAAGAAUAGCGUGCUGAAUACGUCCCUGCCGUUUGUACACACCGCCCGUCGUUUCUUCCGACUGAUACUCAUUGUGAGUUGCAAGGAUUCUUAUUGAAAAAUUGCUGCGAAUGCCUUGUAUUGGAGGAAGAAAAAGUCGUAACA